GGGUUGUGAGGUUAAGCGACUAAGCGUACACGGUGGAUGCCCUGGCAGUCAGAGGCGAUGAAGGACGUGCUAAUCUGCGAUAAGCGUCGGUAAGGUGAUAUGAACCGUUAUAACCGGCGAUUUCCGAAUGGGGAAACCCAGUGUGAUUCGUCACACUAUCAUUAACUGAAUCCAUAGGUUAAUGAGGCGAACCGGGGGAACUGAAACAUCUAAGUACCCCGAGGAAAAGAAAUCAACCGAGAUUCCCCCAGUAGCGGCGAGCGAACGGGGAGGAGCCCAGAGCCUGAAUCAGUGUGUGUGUUAGUGGAAGCGUCUGGAAAGGCGCGCGAUACAGGGUGACAGCCCCGUACACAAAAAUGCACAUAUUGUGAGCUCGAUGAGUAGGGCGGGACACGUGGUAUCCUGUCUGAAUAUGGGGGGACCAUCCUCCAAGGCUAAAUACUCCUGACUGACCGAUAGUGAACCAGUACCGUGAGGGAAAGGCGAAAAGAACCCCGGCGAGGGGAGUGAAAAAGAACCUGAAACCGUGUACGUACAAGCAGUGGGAGCCUCUUUAUGGGGUGACUGCGUACCUUUUGUAUAAUGGGUCAGCGACUUAUAUUCUGUAGCAAGGUUAACCGAAUAGGGGAGCCGAAGGGAAACCGAGUCUUAACUGGGCGUUAAGUUGCAGGGUAUAGACCCGAAACCCGGUGAUCUAGCCAUGGGCAGGUUGAAGGUUGGGUAACACUAACUGGAGGACCGAACCGACUAAUGUUGAAAAAUUAGCGGAUGACUUGUGGCUGGGGGUGAAAGGCCAAUCAAACCGGGAGAUAGCUGGUUCUCCCCGAAAGCUAUUUAGGUAGCGCCUCGUGAAUUCAUCUCCGGGGGUAGAGCACUGUUUCGGCAAGGGGGUCAUCCCGACUUACCAACCCGAUGCAAACUGCGAAUACCGGAGAAUGUUAUCACGGGAGACACACGGCGGGUGCUAACGUCCGUCGUGAAGAGGGAAACAACCCAGACCGCCAGCUAAGGUCCCAAAGUCAUGGUUAAGUGGGAAACGAUGUGGGAAGGCCCAGACAGCCAGGAUGUUGGCUUAGAAGCAGCCAUCAUUUAAAGAAAGCGUAAUAGCUCACUGGUCGAGUCGGCCUGCGCGGAAGAUGUAACGGGGCUAAACCAUGCACCGAAGCUGCGGCAGCGACGCUUAUGCGUUGUUGGGUAGGGGAGCGUUCUGUAAGCCUGCGAAGGUGUGCUGUGAGGCAUGCUGGAGGUAUCAGAAGUGCGAAUGCUGACAUAAGUAACGAUAAAGCGGGUGAAAAGCCCGCUCGCCGGAAGACCAAGGGUUCCUGUCCAACGUUAAUCGGGGCAGGGUGAGUCGACCCCUAAGGCGAGGCCGAAAGGCGUAGUCGAUGGGAAACAGGUUAAUAUUCCUGUACUUGGUGUUACUGCGAAGGGGGGACGGAGAAGGCUAUGUUGGCCGGGCGACGGUUGUCCCGGUUUAAGCGUGUAGGCUGGUUUUCCAGGCAAAUCCGGAAAAUCAAGGCUGAGGCGUGAUGACGAGGCACUACGGUGCUGAAGCAACAAAUGCCCUGCUUCCAGGAAAAGCCUCUAAGCAUCAGGUAACAACAAAUCGUACCCCAAACCGACACAGGUGGUCAGGUAGAGAAUACCAAGGCGCUUGAGAGAACUCGGGUGAAGGAACUAGGCAAAAUGGUGCCGUAACUUCGGGAGAAGGCACGCUGAUAUGUAGGUGAAGCGACUUGCUCGUGGAGCUGAAAUCAGUCGAAGAUACCAGCUGGCUGCAACUGUUUAUUAAAAACACAGCACUGUGCAAACACGAAAGUGGACGUAUACGGUGUGACGCCUGCCCGGUGCCGGAAGGUUAAUUGAUGGGGUUAGCGGUAACGCGAAGCUCUUGAUCGAAGCCCCGGUAAACGGCGGCCGUAACUAUAACGGUCCUAAGGUAGCGAAAUUCCUUGUCGGGUAAGUUCCGACCUGCACGAAUGGCGUAAUGAUGGCCAGGCUGUCUCCACCCGAGACUCAGUGAAAUUGAACUCGCUGUGAAGAUGCAGUGUACCCGCGGCAAGACGGAAAGACCCCGUGAACCUUUACUAUAGCUUGACACUGAACAUUGAGCCUUGAUGUGUAGGAUAGGUGGGAGGCUUUGAAGUGUGGACGCCAGUCUGCAUGGAGCCGGCCUUGAAAUACCACCCUUUAAUGUUUGAUGUUCUAACGUUGGCCCGUAAUCCGGGUUGCGGACAGUGUCUGGUGGGUAGUUUGACUGGGGCGGUCUCCUCCUAAAGAGUAACGGAGGAGCACGAAGGUUGGCUAAUCCUGGUCGGACAUCAGGAGGUUAGUGCAAUGGCAUAAGCCAGCUUGACUGCGAGCGUGACGGCGCGAGCAGGUGCGAAAGCAGGUCAUAGUGAUCCGGUGGUUCUGAAUGGAAGGGCCAUCGCUCAACGGAUAAAAGGUACUCCGGGGAUAACAGGCUGAUACCGCCCAAGAGUUCAUAUCGACGGCGGUGUUUGGCACCUCGAUGUCGGCUCAUCACAUCCUGGGGCUGAAGUAGGUCCCAAGGGUAUGGCUGUUCGCCAUUUAAAGUGGUACGCGAGCUGGGUUUAGAACGUCGUGAGACAGUUCGGUCCCUAUCUGCCGUGGGCGCUGGAGAACUGAGGGGGGCUGCUCCUAGUACGAGAGGACCGGAGUGGACGCAUCACUGGUGUUCGGGUUGUCAUGCCAAUGGCACUGCCCGGUAGCUAAAUGCGGAAGAGAUAAGUGCUGAAAGCAUCUAAGCACGAAACUUGCCCCGAGAUGAGUUCUCCCUGACUCUUUAAGGGUCCUGAAGGAACGUUGAAGACGACGACGUUGAUAGGCCGGGUGUGUAAGCGCAGCGAUGCGUUGAGCUAACCGGUACUAAUGAACCGUGAGGCUUAACCUUACAACGCCGAAGGUGUUU
rnacentral:rRNA from 1 species